UACGGGGGGGAGCAAGCGUUGUUCGGAUUUACUGGGCGUAAAGGGCGCGUAGGCGGCCACUGCAAGUCGGUUGUGAAAUCUCCGGGCUUAACCCGGAAAGGUCAAUCGAUACUGCAGGGCUAGAGUGCAGAAGGGGCAACUGGAAUUCUCGGUGUAGCGGUGAAAUGCGUAGAUAUCGAGAGGAACACCUGCGGCGAAGGCGGGUUGCUGGGCUGAUACUGACGCUGAGGCGCGAAAGCUAGGGGAGCGAACGGG
rnacentral:rRNA from 1 species